rnacentral:rRNA from 1 species
CCCUUAGAUGUCCUGGGCUGCACGCGCGCUACACUGAUGUGUCCAGUAAGCACGUAACCUCUUCCGAAAGGAACGGGUAACCUUUGCAAAGCACAUCGUGAUGGGGAUAGAUUAUUGCAAUUAUUAGUCUUGAACGAGGAAUUCCUAGUAAGCACAAGUCAUCAGCUUGUGUUGAUUACGUCCCUGCCCUUUGUACACACCGCCCGUCGCUCCUACCGAUUGAAUGUUCCGGUGAGCUCUUCGGACUGCGCGGUCUGCAGUUUCUGCGUUCCGUGCGGAAAGUUGCGCAAACCUUAACAUUUAGAGGAAGGAGAAGUCGUAACA